rnacentral:rRNA from 1 species
GACGAACGCUGGCGGCGUGCUUAACACAUGCAAGUCGAACGGAAAGGCCCUGCUUUUGUGGGGUGCUCGAGUGGCGAACGGGUGAGUAACACGUGAGUAACCUUCCCUUUACUUUGUGAUAACUUCAGGAAACUGGGGCUACUACCGGAUAGGAGCUCCUGCUGCAUGGUGGGCUUUGGAAAGUUUCGGCGGUUGGGGAUGGACUCGCGGCUUAUCAGCUUGUUGGUGGGGUAGUGGCUUACCAAGGCUUUGACGGGUAGCCGGCCUGAGAGGGUGACCGGCCACAUUGGGACUGAGAUACGGCCCAGACUCCUACGGGAGGCAGCAGUGGGGAAUAUUGCACAAUGGGCGGAAGCCUGAUGCAGCAACGCCGCGUGCGGGAUGACGGCCUUCGGGUUGUAAACCGCUUUCGCCUGUGACGAAGCGUGAGUGACGGUAAUGGGUAAAGAAGCACCGGCUAACUACGUG